AUAUAUGCGUGCAUUACUGGCCUGCGAGGCUUCGAGGUGACAUGUGUCUGUUGUGAGAAUUCUCCUCUGACGCUCCAUGCGGGGGAUAAAGGAUGGAUCAUUAACAUUUCAGCCCGGUCACCAUUAAACCAACAUUUACGUUGCCCUUCUCCGUAUGGUGUGAAACGUAAAGCGGGUUUUUAAUUGAGGGUUGGUGUAACCUUUUCAUGUGUGAGGCCGGGCAAUCAGUCUUAAUGUAGUGUGCAAUGCUCGGUUAGCCAGCUAAGGUUACGUCACAUCUAAUAUGUCUACGUUAGAAAAGUAAAAUAAAUGAAGCGGAACACGGAACCUAAUUAAAAAGUUGACUGUGACUCCGAAUGUCAAAAGGUCUGCAAUCCGUCUCACUGUACCUCGGACCUCAUAAAAUUAACCCUGUCAAGUUGGAUUAGUUCAAGAAAAGAACACAGAAAUGCAAAUAAAAGCGACUCUUCAAUUAUAACCGGCGUGGCAGCAGAAGGUGCAGCAGCGGCCUGCUGCGGGUUUCCCACAGCGAGGCCUGGCGAAGCCAUUAAUAUUUCUAUUUUUAGAUAAGUUUACAACGUUUCCCUCUUUAUUUUUUUAAUGGCAGACGGCACCUCUGCCAACAGAAACACUAGUUAGCAACCUGAUUGCAUUUACAUGGUAGAGUGAUGCCAAAGCUGGAGCAAAUUAGGGAGGUAAGCCUUCGGCUCUGCUGGAAUAACAGGCACUUCAAGAAAUGCCACGAGACGCGACUUCUCAAAAUCAGCCCCUCAGGAAUGUCUUAACUUCUGGUAUUUCUUAACAUGCCCUGAAAUUCUAACCUGCUGCCACGGGGCAUGUUCACCCCAUCUUUGCCUGUUGAUUCAAAAGCCAAUUUGUAUCCUGAAAUGAAGUGAAACUGGAGAAGAUAACAUGAGAUUUGCCUACAGCAGCAGCAGGUCUGUAUUUUGUUUCAGUAGGAUGCUUUAAACCGGUGGAUAUUCAAUUGCUCGGUACAGGAAUCCUUCCAGGGUUUGUGAUUUAGAAACAACGUGAACGUUUUUAAUGAAGCAUUUGCUCUAAGAUGCUUUUCCAUUUUUUAAAAACAUCAAGGUGACCUCGCUUCACUUCCCAUCAUUCAUAGCAGUCCGCCACAAUGAAAAAAUACGCCACUGAGCAACAAAAGGUAUUAUCAGUAAUUGUUUUUAGAAUGUUUUUGCCUAAAGCCGUAAUAGUUGAUUAUUUUGGACACUUGAGGGGAAAAAAGGAAGCUGUAAACACACCAUUGACAUAUAUUCACCCAAUACACCCGGUUGAGAUCCGGUUAACUAAAUGCUCCAUUAUCUUCCUUACCUGCCAGUGGUUAACUUUGUCAGCGGUCCGAAUGCUGAGAAUCGUGGUUUUAUUAGAACCGUACAACCUAAACAAGGAGCGGAAAGAUGCUUCAGCGCUCCAUGUUCACUCUUUAAUGUGUGCAAAGGGAUUUUUUUAGGCCCUCAUUUUAGUGUUAAGUCAGAGACUACAUGUAGGUGGGGUGAAGGAGACAAGUAUUAAUAUAAGAAUACUCAUAUGUGCUGCUUUAAAACCUUGAGACCAACCGACCUUUUGGUACGACAGUAUAUCCUUUAUCCUUUUAAAAUAUAUAUUGUAAGAUCUGGCCUCAGGUGGUAUUUUCAAUUAUGCUCCCGGUAUUCAAGUCUCCCCAUUUUGUCCACUAAAAUCAUUUACCAUCUCCAAAAUUAAACAGUGUAAAAUAGUGAAAUAGUGGGUUUGAAUCACGGCACUGUGAAUAUCCCGGUUGAGCGAGGCUGAUAUACUGUAUGUAACGUCCCCCCCCCUCUCUCUCUCCGGCCCCCGAGUACCGCUGACACAGCAGCUGUGAGCAAUACGUCCACGCGUGGGCGUCAGCCGGGUGUGUGUUUGUGUGCUCACUUGAGCUCGAGUGUGCGUGCCUGUGUGUGUGCGUGCUGUGUGUGUGUGUGUGUGUGUGUGUGUGCGUGCAGGUGGCACGAGGCGACAGCGAUGCCUGCGAGCAGAAUAACAAAUCUAAAAGGCUGCACACCUGAGGAGCUGUCACUGUCAUAAUCAGCCGUUUAUAAUGCAUGGCAGAAGGGGGACAGGAGUCGAGAGGAGGAAAUGAGGACACAGCUGGUAUCAAAGCACUGUGCUGUAUCCUCUCCUUCUCAUCCUCUGUAUUGGUGGACGUGAAAUUGAAAAUGUAAAGGUAUUCAUCUUUACUCCUUCGUUAUCCCCGCUCUCUCUCCAUCUCAUCCAGCGAGUCACAUCUCAUGGCUGGACGCCUCAUCCCACCCUCCUUCACACGUCCCCCCCCCACCGGCCCAGCAGCUCGGAGGCCGGACGCUUCCUCCAGAGAGCUCAAGGUGACACGUGGUCGUUCAGGCACAGAUGAGCGGCCGUGUCUCCGAGCACCCUGAAGGCCGCCAGUUGCCCCCCCCCCCCUUUUUACCCCACUGUACUAAAGCCCCAGAGCGGCGUGCACAUCACCCCCCCGACUCCCCCUGGAGCCUUUUGUUGUUUGCUGUGACGCAAAUCUCCGGUUUCUGCUGUGAGGGCCACAGGAGCAGCAGGUUGACUCACUUCCAGCUCACUGACACAAUCAUUCACUGCUUGUAUUUGUUGUGCGGGUUGUGUGUGUGUGUGUGUGUGUAUGUGUGUGUGUGUGUGUAACUGCCUGUUAGACAGCCCGGCUGAUAUUUUUCUGCAGGGUCAGCAGAGACUUGGCCAAGCCAGCAUCGCCGGGAAGUAAAUCAAUGAAACCCAAUUAGGCGCCAAGAAAGGUGAGUGAGGAAUGAGUCGGAAAAAAAGGGAUCCGCCGACAUUUUCUUUUUGUGAAAGAGUAAAUCAAACACAUCCUCCCUUAUGUUUAAGAGUGCUGAUCUAUUGGAAAAAUAACAUAUCUGAAGACAGCUUCACCCUUUCUCACUGUUUCGGAAGUGCUGUGUGGGACAUUGUUUGUGCGUUGGGGAAGUGUGAGUCACGCCGAUGCAUCACUCUGCUUCCCUUUGUCCAAACAAAGCCAUGCGGUGACUACGAGGGGCUCUGGGUUCUACAAACACUGGGACACCUCAACUGGUUCACUUCAGACUUAUUCCGCUGCGUCCUGCCGACCCUUUGAAAUUUGCAUUGACGAAAUCCCCAGCGGGUGAAGGGAGCAGUCCUGCGUGUGUGUGUGUGCGUGUGGAGGCCGAGGGUAAAGGCAAUAUGUGUCAUGAUCACCUCCUGAGCGAGCCAAAUGAGACACCCUUGGCUGUGAGCAGCCUGCCACUAACAUCUGCUGCUUUGGCCGCAGGAUGCCCUUGUGAGGUUUGCCUCCACGAACAGUGUUCUGCUUUCUGCUUUGAACUAUUGUCUGUGCACGACGGUGAAAAAUAAAACCUGGGCUACUUGUAAUCUUUCCUCGAUUUUUAAUUAGUAACAUCAUGCUUUGCGGGACUUUGCCGGACCGAAAGGGAACGGCGCAAAGUAUAUUAGUAGGUGACAUGCAGGCGAGAUCCUUGUAAUUAUUAUGCUGUAAUAAAAAAGGAACGCCCAUAAUCCCCAAGGAGGUGUGAUGGAACAGGUUCUCUGGCAAUUAUUGUGAAUUACGAUCACAUUUUAAUCUCAUUAAAACACUACAUGCUUAUAGAGUAUAUGCCACCAGGAUAAAGGCAACUAUUAAGUAUAAUAAUAAUAAUACAUUUCAGUUAUGAAAUUACUGGUAUUGCUGGUAAAUUAUUGGUAUCCUUAAUGCAACCACAAUAAGAACACUGAUAAUUGUGCAUCCAUUUUUCAUUUAUUAUCUUGCAAUAUUAACCUUUUAUCACAUUUUUUAUCAGGAUUGAAAUCAUUUGAAUGAACCAGUGUACCUCUUUAAGCAGCCGGCCCUUUGCCACGUUCAUGAGCCCGCAGUAAUUAACACAUUUAUGUAAUCAAGCUUCAGUGCCUUUUGCAGGAAAGCAAUCUUACAAACUCUCCCCGCUGAACACUUUAAGAUAAAGAAAACAGAAGAAAAAGAAGCAUUUAUUGGAGUAACCUAAUAAUCUCAUUACCAUUGUGAUUAUAAAAAACAGAGGCUCGUCCCCUGACUGCCUCCAACACUCGUAUGGAUCCAGCCCGCAUGCAAACCAAGCGCCGGUCUGAGCGCGCGGCCUGGAGACCCUGUCGUCCUAUCGCAGAUCAAUAGUGAUAAAGAAAAAAAAGACAGUUUGAUCUGCAAACAGUGAAGAAACCCAGAGGGGCAUUCAGGGCGCAAGGAGCUCCAUUGGCCCUUUAUUUCAGAACGUUAUGCUGGGAAUACGUGUCAGAGUGGAAGGUGAUGCUUUGGGCUCGUCAGUGUUGCUACAUACAUUAUGAUCAUACUGCGCCUGUGUGACGCAAUGUGGAAAUUGGCCGUGCACUGAUUCCAAACUUGUGACUGAAAGGUAGUUUUACAUUUCCCUUUUUUAUCUGCUUGUGAGGUUAAUUGUUAAAGGUUCUCUACACAACGUGUAUUAUAUCCACUGAUGUGGCAGCAAACAACUAUUUGCUAUGCAGAGAUGUGGUGAGGUAUUACCACCUGAGCAAAGAACAAAGUCGCUCUCUGUCAUCUCAGCUUCUGCCUUGUUUGUGGACGUAGUCGUGCACGUGCUCGUGCCCCAUUGGCAGCUCACGAAGCUCAUACGCUGCUUACAGCUGAUGACCUCUGAACUUUCUGUUUUUGCGUGAUGUCAGAGCGGGGUGGCAGACAAACACAAGUAUUUGUGUCCUGUGUGAAAUCAAAAUGAGAUGUGAUGUUAACGUUGUUACAUUUGUUAACAACGUCCGCUGUGAGCAGCUGUUAUCCAGAAUUCACUAGUUACAUCAUGUUUUUAACGCAGACCACGAUCUUUUAAACCCCGAACCAAGUAGCUGUGUUUCCCAAAUGGAGUCAAUGCUUUCACAU
ensembl:lncRNA